GUUCAUCUGAAGAGUCCUAAAUAAGACGAAACGUUCGUCCUGGAU
rfam:Schistosoma mattheei strain Denwood, Zambia genome assembly, scaffold: SMTD_scaffold0007468